rnacentral:rRNA from 1 species
GACGAACGCUGGCGGCGUGCCUAAUACAUGCAAGUUGAGCGCUGAAGGUUGGUACUUGUACCAACUGGAUGAGCAGCGAACGGGUGAGUAACGCGUGGGGAAUCUGCCUUUGAGCGGGGGACAACAUUUGGAAACGAAUGCUAAUACCGCAUAAAAACUUUAAACACAAGUUUUAAGUUUGAAAGAUGCAAUUGCCUCACUCAAAGAUGAUCCCGCGUUGUAUUAGCUAGUUGGUGAGGUAAAGGCUCACCAAGGCGAUGAUACAUAGCCGACCUGAGAGGGAGAUCGGCCACAAUGGGACUGAGACAAGGCCCAAACGCCUACGGGAGGCAGCAGUAGGGAAUCUUCGGCAAUGGACGAAAGUCUGACCGAGCAACGCCGCGUGAGGGAAGAAGGGUUUCGGAUCGUAAAACUCUGUUGGUAGAGAAGAACGUUGGUGAGAGUGGAAAGCUCAUCAAGUGACGGUAACUACCCAGAAAGGGACGGCUAACUACGUG